CCAAGCCAAACACCGGGUCAGCCUUCAGUUCUUGGCCGGUGGAGACAUCACCUCUCUCGGCUUGCGUUUUUAACAAUGUCGCCUGCGGAGAAACCAACCUGUCCACAGACUCACUAUCUGAAUACUCACCUUUAUACAGAGGAAUAGCGUUAGUUCACGUUUACCACUGCCUUUUUUGUGACUAGAGCAACUCACAACAGUAAACACAAGACUCGCAGCUUGCGCUCCACAUUUUGGAGAAAUUUAUUUAAGAGAAUUUUCUGCUCUCUGUCGUUUUCUAGAACAACAGCCUUGUAAUUAUUGAAUCUUAUCGACUGUUUUGACGCUUAGACUGGAUUUGCCGCACGCCGUAUAAGCAAGGCUGUGUUGGCUGUGUGAGUGUGUGUUGUGAAUUAAACCUCAUAUACACCCUAGGCUAAAGCCAUUUAUCUGUGCGUUUUACUGAUCGACCUGACGGGAAGGCAGCAGCCGCAGCAGCAGCAUAAUAAAGCGACAUGGCUGGAAAAGACAAACCCAGAUGCUGCGUGGAAGAAAAAAGAGGAAAAGAAACCAGAUGAAUGAAAUUUGAGAGAAAUAUCAGGGAAGAAAGAAAGCGAUCUGUUGACAGCGGCGAGAAAUUCAAUUUGCAGCUGCCUGCGACGGGAACAUUGAAUCAUAUUACAGAGAGCAGGAGAGGAGCAGCAGCCAUACCUGAAGGCCGGAGGGUAAAAAAAAAAGAAAAAAGAAAAAAGCUUUUUACUCCUCUGCUGUAAUUCAUUGAAGAGAGAGAGAGAGCCUCUCCUUUGGCUUCUUCCAUCACAUGAUGCUGUCAGUGCGUGAGGAGCGGAGGGCCACACACACACACACACACACACACACACACACACACACACACACAGAGCCCUGUUCAACUGUAACCACAUUACAGCAGCUCACUCCGCAACACGCUCAUUACUUUGCAGCGAGACUCCACACUUCAUCAUCAGCCGAAGGUUCAACAAAAAACGGCUUGAAAACGUGGGUCUGUAAUUUCACUGAUGCUCUGAUUACAGCCUGGGCCAAAAAAAAAAAAAAAAAAAA